rnacentral:rRNA from 1 species
AGAGUUUGAUCAUGGCUCAGAACGAACGCUGGCGGCGUGCUUAACACAUGCAAGUCGAGUGCGCGUACCGUAGCAAUACGGUAUGGCGCACGGCGCACGGGUGCGUAACACGUGGGCAAUCUGCCCUUCGAUGGGGAAUAACUCGCCGAAAGGCGAGCUAAUUCCGCAUAACAUUCCUUGGACUGCGGUUCGAGGACUCAAAGCCGUAAGGCGUCGAAGGAGGAGCCCGCGCCCGAUUAGCUAGUUGGUGAGGUAACGGCUCACCAAGGCAAUGAUCGGUAGCUGGUCUGAGAGGAUGGCCAGCCACACUGGAACUGAGACACGGUCCAGACUCCUACGGGAGGCAGCAGUGGGGAAUCUUGCGCAAUGGGCGAAAGCCUGACGCAGCGACGCCGCGUGGGGGAUGAAGCAUUUCGGUGUGUAAACCCCUUUCGACUGGGACGAAUGCCUCGCAAGAGGAGUGACGGUACCAGUAGAAGAAGCCCCGGCUAACUACGUGCCAGCAGCCGCGGUAAGACGUAGGGGGCCAGCGUUGUUCGGAAUUACUGGGUGUAAAGGGUUCGUAGGCGGUGCGGCAAGUUGGGAGUGAAAUCUCUGGGCUUAACCCAGAGGCUGCUUCCAAAACUGCUGUGCUUGAGUGUGGGAGAGGCGCGUGGAAUUGCAGGUGUAGCGGUGAAAUGCGUAGAUAUCUGCAGGAACACCCGUGGCGAAAGCGGCGCGCUGGACCACAACUGACGCUGAGGAACGAAAGCUAGGGGAGCAAACAGGAUUAGAUACCCUAGUAGUCC